rnacentral:lncRNA from 1 species
AAGAAGCUUGCGGAGCAGUUUCAGAAGCAGGCUCCCGAAGGAGCUGCUGGCUCAGCAGAAGCUCAAGAGGAGAAUGACGACGACGUCCCAGAGCUUGUUGCAGGACAGGAUUUUGAGACAGCUGCCGAGGAGACCAAGGCAUCUUAGAUUGUUAUUGUUAUUGUGCCCAUCGUUAUAUAUUCUGUGUUUUUAAUUUUUUUUUUCUUGAUUUACCAUUUUAAGUAUUUCAGGUGUUCAGUUCUCCUGUCAUAUACUUUAAACACUUAAAACCCUCUAUUAAAUCUGCUUUCCUCCAUCUAACUAGGUAUACCUGACAUGUCAUCUUGCAUUAUUCACUGUUUGAUACUUAGUGUCGAGUAUUCAAAUCCUUCCUGCUUUGUCUCACCCUUGGCUUUGAUAUAAAGUUAUUGAUGGAUUUUUUAAGAAAGUUGAGAUGGAACAAGUAUAUUGCGCUUUUCUAUUGAUAUCGUGCACAUCAUAAUUCACAUUUAGGAUUUAAUUAUGUUAUGAUUGAUGUACUCCAAACAGAAACAGUCCAUGCCCACUAACUCCUUGUUGAAUCAGGUACUCAGUCUUCACGAACCUGGUGGUAAUGGUCUCAUGUACAGUGAAAAUUGUUGUCUAAAUUUGUCUUAACUGAACAUUUGUUUUGAAUUCGAAGUGAUCCCAACUGUAAUUUGCUC